AGACCCGAAACCCGGUGAUCUAGCCAUGGGCAGGUUGAAGGUUGGGUAACACUAACUGGAGGACCGAACCGACUAAUGUUGAAAAAUUAGCGGAUGACCUGUGGCUGGGGGUGAAAGGCCAAUCAAACCGGGAGAUAGCUGGUUCUCCCCGAAAGCUAUUUAGGUAGCGCCUCGUGAAUUCAUCUCCGGGGGUAGAGCACUGUUUCGGCUAGGGGGCCAUCCCGGCUUACCAACCCGAUGCAAACUGCGAAUACCGGAGAAUGUUAUCACGGGAGACACACGGCGGGUGCUAACGUCCGUCGUGAAGAGGGAAACAACCCAGACCGCCAGCUAAGGUCCCAAAGUCAUGGUUAAGUGGGAAACGAUGUGGGAAGGCCCAGACAGCCAGGAUGUUGGCUUAGAAGCAGCCAUCAUUUAAAGAAAGCGUAAUAGCUCACUGGUCGAGUCGGCCUGCGCGGAAGAUGUAACGGGGCUAAACCAUGCACCGAAGCUGCGGCAGCGACGCUUAUGCGUUGUUGGGUAGGGGAGCG
rnacentral:rRNA from 6 species